GACUCCCAGAUGCCAUUUGAGAGAUAAAUGAUACCCCCGACUCCAGAAGAAUCAAUAAUUUCAUGUGUUUGAACAUUUAACUUUGGGACCUCUUUGUUUAUUCUGACCUUCAUAGGAACAAGUUGACAUACGGAUGCUUGAUCAGUCUGUCUCCAGCGGCCUUGUCUGAGCCUGACCACGAGUAAGCAUGCCAGAGAAGUUGACUGAAUGCAUUCUGAAUUGGAGUUCUGUUAGAAAGGUUCCUGAGGCUCUAUGAAGACCCUGUGGGGGAAGAGUGCAGAAGCCACCGUCCCAUACCUGCCAUCUAAUGUGGUAACUGAGUUUCCCAUUGCCACAGCUGGGGAAUGAGAAGCACUUAUAGAUGUAUGAUUACAUGUUGCUAUUCAAAUGGGAUCUGCUCUGUCUGGGAGACCAACUAGGAUGUUAUGCUGUUAAUGAAGAGGAAUAGACAGAGGAGGAGAAACAUCUAUGCUCACGUUUAUAUUGAACAUAAGAAUCUCAGAAUCUCUGCACUAGAUUUGAAUAGCUCAUCUGACCCACCAAGUUGUCAUAAGUUUGCUCCUGACAGUGACUAAAGUCAUUCUGCUUUGUAAUACUCUAGAGCUGUUAAUGACCCAAAGUCAUUGUUUUGGACUAUGUAUUCCUACCCUUUAAUGGUUUUGUUUAUUCUUGUUGGUUUUAAUUAAAUAAAGAAAA
rnacentral:sRNA from 1 species